AGCACAGGUGGCUGAUAAUCUGUUUUAAUUAUAGUUAACGUGCUUAAUUUCAGAAGUGAUGUUUAAAGCUCACAGGAGGUUCCAAAGAGCUUUCCAGCUCUGCCUUCCCAGCCUGGCUGCAGUCACACAGCCUCCAGCUCACAGGCUUUUAAAUUAUUUACCCAAAAUUGUUUUUGAAGAAAGAAUUAAAAAUUAAAAAAAAAAAAAAGGAAAGAAAUUGAAGUUUAAAUCUAUUAAGAACUUGAUAGAGGGAUGGAAUGGAAAUAAGAACUCUCAUAAGAGCACUUCAGCUUCUGGUGAUCUGCAGGGAAUAAUGGGCUGAGCCCACGGAGUCACUGCGAGGCUUCAGGAUGAAAACAUAAGGAGAAGUGAAUCAGCUCUUAUGAAACAAUGACCUCCUCCAUCUCCCCAAACAACUUCAGCAGUGCAGCAAAAAUAACACCCAGGAACCAAGCUGUUCCCAGGGUGAGCAAGGGAUCAGGUUUGCAGCUCGGGGCUCUGACGGAGCAGGAGGAUGGAUGCCCUCCUCCAGUCAGCCCCAGCCAGAUCAUUGCUCACCACACUCCAGCUCCAGCUGCUCUGGAAGCAUGCAGCCUUGAUACUCCUGGGUUUUAUUCUAAUUAUUGCGGCAGUGAUAGAAAUUGUUCUUACCAAUAUGGAUUUCAAUAACAUUUUGCACUUAUUCAGCAUCUUUGCACUGAGAAUCUCAGAAGUGCUGAACAGAAGGCAGUGGAAAUCAUCUCCAGUUUUUCCUCAGGGGAAGCUGAAGCAGGCUGGUAAGGACCUCUGGUGUGGAUUGAUAGU